AGAUUUUCUGUUGUGCUUGAUCUAACCAUGUGGUUGCCAGGUAUGAGUAAAACAUGGUUCCGUCAAGCACCAUGGAACGUCACG
ensembl:miRNA microRNA 218-1